CUGGGUGCUUUUUGAGAUGAGGGUCCACCUGAUCCCAUCCCGAACUCAGAAGUUAAGCUCAUCAUCGCCGAUGGUAGUCGCAAGGCAAGAGUAGGUCGGCGCCCAGA
rnacentral:rRNA from 1 species